GCCAGGCGCGGUGGUGUGUGCCUGUAGUCCCAGCUACUCGGGAGGCUGAGGUGGGAGGAUCGCUUGAGCCCAGGAGUUCUGGGCUGUAGUGCACUAUGCCAGUCGGGUGUCCACACAAAGUUUGGCAUCAAUAUGAUGACCUCCCGGGAGCAGGGGAUCACCAGGUUGCCUAAGGAGACGUGAACUGGCCCAGGUCGGAAACGGAACAGGUCAAAACUCCAGUGCUGAUCAGUAGUGGGAUUGCGCCUGUGAAUAGCCACUGCAUUCCAGCCUGGGCAACAUAGCGAGACUCUGUCUCU
rnacentral:SRP_RNA from 1 species